CCGAGCCUGGGACCACGCAGGAGCUGGGCGCAGCACACGGCAAGCGAGGACCCAGAGCAUCACUGCAUUUGACCCUCCCGCAGCCGCCUCAGUGCAGGCCGAGAGUGGAGAGAAUGAAUUUAGAAAUGCUUCUGUGGCCCCACGGCCCCUGCUUCCCAGGCGCACAGGCACGGGGACCAGUUGGGAAACUGGUGAUGACAAGAGAGUAGCCGCUGUCACCGACACGGUGAUAACAUCAGGACUUCUCGACCGCUGGCUCUCUCCAGGUGCUGAUCCUAACCUUAUAAACACCCUUGGAUGUUCUUAA